rnacentral:lncRNA from 1 species
UUUUAAAAAAAACCUAAAAUUUUCUCUGAAAGAGAGAGAGAAAGGAGAGAAGCUCCGGGCUCUAGCCUCUGUAGGCCUCGCCCCGGUCGUAGGCUUCACGCGCCCACGCCCCGCCCUAAGGACCACCGCGCACGGUGUCUAGGGUUCGAAAAACCAUUCCCUUCCUUCGCCAAUCGUCAGGUAGCCUCCUUUUUCUUUUAUUUUCUUUUAUUAUUUCUCAAAUCAAUGUAUACAAGUCAGAAAACAAAUAGAAGAAAAAGAAAAGAAUAAAAAAAAUGAUUUGAUUACCAAAAGAAACGAAAAAAGAACUGCUUUUUUAUUUCUUCUGCUCUAAAUGGAUACAACUGCUAGUAAAAUCUUUUUUCUGUAUUUUUGUUUUCUCCUCUUAUUUACAGAUUUUGCGAAAGGCUUUAUAGCCUUAGACUACUGCCUAUUUUGGAAAGAAAUCAGAAGAUUUCUUUCCAUUUCCUGCUCUAGUAUAGCUGCUGCCUUUUGCUUUGAUUUCUUUCCUUUUCUUGCAGAUACCCCAAAGAUCUCGAUGAUGGAAGGUUGCUAGCAUUGAUGGAGGCCUGAAGUCUAGUGGUGACAGAGACGAGAAAUUGCGGCGUGCUUGGUGGCGACGAUCGGGCCGUUGAAUCUGUGAGAUGAAAGGUCAUGUCAUUUGGAGUGCCUGAAACUUCUAGAAACUCCUUGCGGCGCUGUGUUCUCAAGAAACCCUAGGGUUUCCUUGUCUGUUUUUACCGUUUUGGGCCUUUUGGGCCACUUUAGUCUAGGGUCUGUUAUUUAGGCUUGGGUGUAACCUGGUUUGGUUUAAAUUGGGCUACGGGUGUAUUUUGGGCUGCUGGGGUUUAAUUCUUUUGGACUCUGUAUAUGGACUUUUAAUGGACUUUUAAAAUAGAUAAAUACUUAUUUAUUUAA